UGUCCCCAUGGCCCACGUUGAUGUCCCCACGCCCCCCAUGAUGUCCCCAUGACCCUUGAUGGUCUCCCCAAGCCCCCCAUGAUGCCUCCACGGCCCUUUCCAUGUCCAUGUUGACGUCCCCAUGGCCACCAUGAUGUCCCCAUGGCCCACGUUGAUGUCCCCAUGACCCUUGAUGGUCUCCUCACGCCCCCCAUGAUGUCUCCAUGGCCCUUCCCAUGGCCACGUUGAUGUCCCC
rnacentral:lncRNA from 1 species